UUUAGAACUAGUUAUUUUAUUAAAUGAUAUUAAUACACAUUUCAAAAGGAUUUCAUUGUUGUUGCCUCUAAAGCAUGUACUUAUUUUGUUUUCCACACUGAACACGUGAGAAUAUCAAUCCAACAUAUCUAAUUUAAAUCUUAACAGGCACCCCAGCCCAUUCAAAAAAAGGAGGGGAAGGAGGGGAGGCAAAAAGGAGAAAAAGCAGUAAUUUACAGCGGCUUCAAAACAGUAACAGCUGAAGCUUACUUCUGCAUGAACCACUGAUAGUGAAUAUUCUGCAAUUAGGAGUUUUAGCAUAUUCACAUUAUCUAGAUAGGUUUGCUGUACCAUAUACAUCACAAACAUUGUAUUCCUGGGACUGGAAAGGAUGAAAGGCCUAUUCUCUUAUCAUUUUACCCUCCCUGGAAAUAAACCAAAUUCUAUUUAUUCUCAACAGAAUUUGGGAGGGCAAAUGGGAGCAGGGACAGAGGUUGAAUCUAAGCUGACUGAAGGGUAAACUUUUACAGAAUAUUUAAGGACUCAAUUUCUGAUAUUGGAUCACUGAAUUUUAAGUGGUACCAGUGUACUCAUGCCGUACCCACUGAUUCUCUGUCUGUGAUUUUACAGUGAGCACCAAGAACCUUAGUAACAACUUCGCAUUAUCUGUUUGCAUACUGAAUCAUGUCCUUGCCAAGACACACUAUACUAUGCUUUUUUAAAAAUCUUGUUCUGAGGUUGAAAUACAAAAGUCAGAGCAUGGGCACGGAGUUUUAAAUCACAGACACAGAAAGAAUAAAACCCCUUUGUUUCAUGUUAUGAAUACCAGAAUUAUCUUAUUUCACUAUAUCACAUAUAUAUACACACAUCGUUGUCUUCACUGACUGCUGUAGGCAGAUGUCCUUCAAGUUAACAAACAGCUGACAGUUACAUACAAAUCCUUAUUUCCAUCCUGAAACAAAUGGAUUUUGUGGCUUAAAAAAACAAAACACACUCCACAGAAACCCAACCCUUAAAGUCCAUCUUUUAUAACUGUACAAGGUCUUCCCUUUCAUGUACUAGCUAUCAUGCUUCUGAGGACAAUUAACCUGCCCCAACAUUCAGGAAACCACUUUGCUGACCAACCCCCCAUUUUCUGAUAAAAUCAAAUGGUCAGAGAGCCUUUUCAAGUAAACGCUACUUUUAGAUUAAUCGAGAGCAGCAGAAAGAAUUCACAUUCUUUUAUUCUAGAAUGAAAAACAUCCCACUUAAUUUUCUGCAAAAGAAAAAAAACCUAUUUCAGUUUUGAGUUAAAACUUUC
rnacentral:lncRNA from 1 species